rnacentral:rRNA from 1 species
UUCCGGUUGAUCCUGCCGGACCCCACUGCUAUCGGGAUAGGACUAAGACAUGCUAGUCGUGUGCUUCAGCCAAAACGAAGCACGGCAUACAGCUCAGUAACACGUGGCUAACCUGCCCUUGGGACGAGAACAACCCCGGGAAACUGGGGCUAACUCUCGAUAGGCGAAAAUCUCUGGAAUGAGUUUUCACCCAAAAAGUUUGAGGUUAUGCUCUUCAAACCGCCCAAGGAUGGGGCCGCGACCGAUCAGGUUGUUGGUGAGGUAAUGGCUCACCAAGCCUUUUACCGGUGCGGGCCGUGGGAGCGGGAGCCCGGAGAUGGGCACUGAGACAAGGGCCCAGGCCCUACGGGGCGCAGCAGUCGCGAAAACUUUGCAAUAAGCGAAAGCUUGACAGGGCUAUCCCGAGUGCCAUCCGCUGAGGAAGGCUUUUACCCAGUCUAGAACGCUGGGGGAAUAAGGAGAGGGCAAGUCUGGUGUCAGCCGCCGCGGUAAUACCAGCUCUCCGAGUGGUGUGGAUGUUUAUUGGGCCUAAAGCAUCCGUAGCUGGCUAGGUUAGUCCCCUGUUAAAUCCACCGAAUUAAUCGUUGGAUUGCGGGGGAUACUGCUUGGCUAGGGGACGAGAGAGGCAGACGGUAUUUCCGGGGUAGGGGUGAAAUCCUAUAAUCCCGGGAAGACCACCAGUGGCGAAAGGCUGUCU